rnacentral:rRNA from 1 species
AGAGUUUGAUCCUGGCUCAGAACGAACGCUGGCGGCGUGCUUAACACAUGCAAGUCGAGUGCGCGUUUUCGUAGCAAUACGGAAAUGGCGCACGGCGCACGGGUGCGUAACACGUGGGUAACCUGCCCUUUGGUGGGGAAUAACUUCGCGAAAGCGAAGCUAAUUCCGCAUAAGAUCCGCAAGGAUGAAAGCCGAAAGGCGCCGAUGGAGGGGCCCGCGCACGAUUAGCUAGUUGGUAGGGUAAUGGCCUACCAAGGCUUUGAUCGUUAGCUGGUCUGAGAGGAUGAUCAGCCACACUGGAACUGAGACACGGUCCAGACUCCUACGGGAGGCAGCAGUGGGGAAUCUUGCACAAUGGGCGAAAGCCUGAUGCAGCGACGCCGCGUGGGGGAUGAAGCUUUUCGGAGUGUAAACCCCUUUCGAUCCGGACGAAACCCCGCAAGGGAUUGACGGUACGGAUAUAAGAAGCCCCGGCUAACUACGUGCCAGCAGCCGCGGUAAUACGUAGGGGGCCAGCGUUGUUCGGAAUUACUGGGUGUAAAGGGUUCGUAGGCGGUGCGGCAAGUUGGGAGUGAAAUCUCUGGGCUUAACCCAGAGGCUGCUUUCAAAACUGCUGUGCUUGAGUGUGAGAGAGGCUCGUGGAAUUGCAGGUGUAGCGGUGAAAUGCGUAGAUAUCUGCAGGAACACCCGUGGCGAAAGCGGCGAGCUGGAUCACUACUGACGCUGAGGAACGAAAGCUAGGGGAGCAAACAGGAUUAGAUACCCCCGUAGUCC